rnacentral:lncRNA from 1 species
UCUAUAGCUUUGUUUUUGCUAAAUGCGAUGUUAUUUAAAAAAGUGUUUUCUUGUAAUCCACCAGCAAAUACUGCCAAUGAUUGCCUAAAAAUUUGUGAACACACUAUAGAUUGUAUUUAUUUUACUUGGAAUCAAUUAAACCAUUUUUGUUUCCUUAAGGGAGGUGUUGGUUGGAGAAAAAUUCAAGUCGAAAACGCUGUAGGAGGUUAUGUUGGAGGAUCGAUUGAAGCAGGGGUUGAUUAUAAUGGAGGGGAUUUACCAAACUGUAUUUUCUAAUUAUUUU